GAUGAACGCUGGCGGCGUGCCUAAUACAUGCAAGUCGAGCGAACAGACGAGGAGCUUGCUCCGCGGACGUUAGCGGCGGACGGGUGAGUAACACGUGGAUAACCUACCUAUAAGACUGGUAUCACUUCGGGAAACCGGAUCUAAUACCGUAGAAUCUAUUGAACCACGUGGUUCAAUAGUGAGAUUCGGUUUUUCUGGCACGUAUAGAGGGAUCCGCGCCGCAUUAGGUGGUUGGGAAGUUAACGGGUUAUCAAGGCAAGGAUGCGUAACCGAAGUGAGAGGGUGAUCGGCGACACGGGAACUGAGACAGGGUCAAGACUCCUACGGGAGGGAGCAGAAGGGAACGUGCCGCAAUGGGCGAAAGCUUGACGGAGCGACGGCGAGUGAGUGAUGAAGGUCUUCGGAUCGUAAAACUCUGUUAUUAGGGAAGAACAAAUGUGUAAGUAACUAUGCACGUAUUGACGGUAACUAAUCAGAAAGCCACGGCUAACUACGUG
rnacentral:rRNA from 1 species